GAUGAACGCUGGCGGCGUGCCUAAUACAUGCAAGUCGAGCGAACAGGCGAGGAGCUUGCUCCUCUGACGUUAGCGGCGGACGGGUGAGUAACGCGUGGAUAACCUACCUAUAAGACUGGGAUAACUUCGGGAAACCGGAGCUAAUACCGGAUAAUAUAUUGAACCGCAUGGUUCAAUAGUGAAAGACGGUUUUGCUGUCACUUAUAGAUGGAUCCGCGCCGCAUUAGCUAGUUGGUAAGGUAACGGCUUACCAAGGCAACGAUGCGUAGCCGACCUGAGAGGGUGAUCGGCCACACUGGAACUGAGACACGGUCCAGACUCCUACGGGAGGCAGCAGUAGGGAAUCUUCCGCAAUGGGCGAAAGCCUGACGGAGCAACGCCGCGUGAGUGAUGAGGGUCUUCGGAUCGUAAAACUCUGUUAUUAGGGAAGAACAAAUGUGUAAGUAACUAUGCACGUCUUGACGGUACCUAAUCAGAAAGCCACGGCUAACUACGUG
rnacentral:rRNA from 1 species